rnacentral:lncRNA from 1 species
AUGAGGGAAUACCUGGAGAGCCGGGCACACUUGCACCCGUGUUUCCAGAGGGAUUUGUGGGUGCUAGAGGUGAUCAGGGAUACCAAGGUCAGAAGGGAGAAAAGGGUGACGGCGGUCUGCCUGGUCCUCCAGGACUGCCUGGGAGGUCAGGACUUGUGGGUCCAAAAGGUGAGUCCAUCGUGGGUCCUCAAGGACCUGUUGGUUCUGUGGGCCAGCCUGGAGCCCCUGGGUUCGGACGACCUGGUUCCCGAGGGUCCCCUGGCCCUGCUGGACCCCCAGGAUAUGCACCUGCAUAUGGCUCAGGUAUGUGAAGGCGGGAGAAAGAUAGAGACCUCAGCUUAUAUCCCUAAAAGUUAUAGAUCUCACGUAUUACACGAGGCUGAAUGGUGUCAUGUAUAUUUAUAUAUUUCUUACAUGUCAUCAUCAGAUGUCAAUGUCCCCGGCCCUCCUGGUCCUCCUGGCCCAACAGGAUCACCUGGAUAUGCCAACCCGGUAAGAUACCUGCCAUUGAGCAAGGCAUUUUACCCCUGGUCUGCUGUAUUUUCUCUUAUCUAUGGCUGUCUUGUACACUACAAUACAUAUAUUAUAGA